GGUUGCCAUAGCGUCCACCCACCCGGUUGCCAUGUGAUCAGCCAUUUGCGGACCGGAAGUGCCCAGCCGCGCGCUCUUGGACCAGUUCCUGUCAGUUAGGAGAAGAUGGCGGCUGUGGAAAGUGAUCGCUGUGUUUGGCGCCGCGGCCACUCGCACACUCACUGUUAAAGCCUUAUUCGCAUGUUUAGCUUUCGAAUUUCUCACUGUUGCACUUUACAUUAAUGAGAGGAUUGGAGGCUAACGCUACCAAAGAAGCUCAAGAUAAACUAAGCAGGGAUAGAGUGCAAGAAAAGGAAGAACAGUUGAUGGAAGAAAGGAAAAAAAGAAAAGACGAUAAGAAG